CUAUUUUGGUCCCAGAUAUACUAUUGUUUGUUGCUAGAAAUAUACAUGCCAGCCUCCACGCCCCAGUGAAAACGCCCACAUAUGGUUGACCCACAUGCGGAGCAGGUAUUAGGCACGGCCAAAAAGCCAGCCCAAGACACCUAGCCAUGCCACCCCACCACUGGACUUCAGCAGUAAAAAACACUAAGCACUGAGCCAGCGCUCGACUUGGUUAUAGCCACUACGGGCCGGUAAACCCCGUGCCAGCCACCGCGGUUAUACGAGGGGCCCCAAUCAAUAAAAAACGGCGAAAAGAGUGACUAAAGAAUUAAUUCACUUUUGAACCCAAGAACUAUAGUAUAGCUGUAAAACGCUACAUGCUAUUAAGAAUACUUUCCGGGUUCAAAACAAAACAACCUUGACUCACGAAAACUAAGACCCAAACUAGGAUUAGAUACCCUACUAUGCUUAGUUGUAAACCAGCGCCCUUCGCUCGCCAGAGAACUACAGGCUACCAGCUUAAAACUCAAAAGACUUGACAGUAUUUCAUAUCAACCUAGAGGAGCCUGUCCUACAAUCGAUAACCCACGCUCGACCUCACCCGCCUUUGCAACAACAGUCUAUAUACCUCCGUCGCCAGCCCGCCUGAAGACAGAAAAAUAGCGAGUGUAAUAACCCAACGCUAAUACGACAGGUCAAGGUGUAACUUAUAGGCAGGGCAGAGAUGGGCUACAUUUCUUAACAUAAGAAACACCUACCCCGCCAUGAAACCUGCGCAAAAAGGUGGAUUUAGAAGUAAACCGGGCAAGAAAAGCCUAGCUGAAACGUGCCCUGAAAUGUGU
rnacentral:ncRNA from 1 species